GUUUCUGUAGUUGAACAACAACGGCGGUUUUUCACGCCGUAAGUCUUGGUUAAAGCCCAGGCAGAAACA
rnacentral:tRNA from 1 species